rnacentral:RNase_P_RNA from 1 species
AGAAGCCGGGGAGGUAGUCGCGUACCUCCCGAAUCCUGUGAUACGGGAGGUCCGAGGAAAGUCCGAGCUCCGCAGGGCAGGGUGCUGGUUAACGGCCAGGGGGAGUGAUCCCACGGAAAGUGCCACAGAAAAUAAACCGCCAGCGCGCAAGCGUUGGUAAGGGUGAAACGGCGAGGUAAGAGCUCACCGCGCUUCCGGUGACGGAAGUGGCAGGGCAAACCCCACCCGGAGCAAGACCAAAUAGGGGAGGAUGAGACGGCCCGUCUCGUUAGCACUCCCGGGUAGGUCGCUGGAGACCGUCGGCAACGGCGGUCCGAGAUACAUGACUGCCGUCGCGGAUCCCGCAAGGGAUGCGCGGCAACAGAACUCGGCUUACGACCGGCUUCUCACG